rnacentral:rRNA from 1 species
AGAGUUUGAUCCUGGCUCAGGACGAACGCUGGCGGCACGCUUAACACAUGCAAGUCGAACGAGAGAAGAGGAGCUUGCUUUUCUGAUCUAGUGGCGGACGGGUGAGUAACACGUGAGCAAUCUGCCUUUCAGAGGGGGAUACCGAUUGGAAACGAUCGUUAAUACCGCAUAACAUAAUUGAACCGCAUGAUUUGAUUAUCAAAGAUUUAUCGCUGAAAGAUGAGCUCGCGUCUGAUUAGCUAGUUGGUAAGGUAACGGCUUACCAAGGCGACGAUCAGUAGCCGGACUGAGAGGUUGAUCGGCCACAUUGGGACUGAGACACGGCCCAGACUCCUACGGGAGGCAGCAGUGGGGAAUAUUGCACAAUGGAGGAAACUCUGAUGCAGCGAUGCCGCGUGAGGGAAGAAGGUUUUAGGAUUGUAAACCUCUGUCUUCAGGGACGAAAAAAGACGGUACCUGAGGAGGAAGCUCCGGCUAACUACGUGCCAGCAGCCGCGGUAAUACGUAGGGAGCGAGCGUUGUCCGGAAUUACUGGGUGUAAAGGGAGCGUAGGCGGGAUCGCAAGUCAGGUGUGAAAACUAUGGGCUUAACCCAUAAACUGCAUUUGAAACUGUGGUUCUUGAGUGAAGUAGAGGUAAGCGGAAUUCCUAGUGUAGCGGUGAAAUGCGUAGAUAUUAGGAGGAACAUCAGUGGCGAAGGCGGCUUACUGGGCUUUAACUGACGCUGAGGCUCGAAAGCGUGGGGAGCAAACAGGAUUAGAUACCCUGGUAGUCCACGCCGUAAACGAUGAUUACUAGGUGUGGGGGGACUGACCCCUUCCGUGCCGCAGCAAACGCAAUAAGUAAUCCACCUGGGGAGUACGACCGCAAGGUUGAAACUCAAAGGAAUUGACGGGGGCCCGCACAAGCAGUGGAGUAUGUGGAUUAAUUCGAAGCAACGCGAAGAACCUUACCAGGUCUUGACAUCGUAUGCAUAGCUCAGAGAUGAGUGAAAUCUCUUCGGAGACAUAUAGACAGGUGGUGCAUGGUUGUCGUCAGCUCGUGUCGUGAGAUGUUGGGUUAAGUCCCGCAACGAGCGCAACCCUUACUGUUAGUUGCUACGCAAGAGCACUCUAGCAGGACUGCCGUUGACAAAACGGAGGAAGGUGGGGAUGACGUCAAAUCAUCAUGCCCCUUAUGACCUGGGCCUCACACGUACUACAAUGGCUGUCAACAGAGGGAAGCAAAGCCGCGAGGUGGAGCGAACCCCUAAAAGCAGUCUUAGUUCGGAUUGUAGGCUGCAACCCGCCUACAUGAAGUCGGAAUUGCUAGUAAUCGCAGAUCAGCAUGCUGCGGUGAAUACGUUCCCGGGCCUUGUACACACCGCCCGUCACGCCAUGGGAGUCGGUAACACCCGAAGCCUGUAGUCUAACCGCAAGGAGGACGCAGUCGAAGGUGGGAUUGAUGACUGGGGUGAAGUCGUAACAAGGUA